rnacentral:rRNA from 1 species
CCUACGGGGGGCAGCAGUGAGGAAUAUUGGGCAAUGGGGGCAACCCUGACCCAGCAACGCCGCGUGAGUGAAGAAGGUCUUCGGAUUGUAAAGCUCUUUCGGACGUGACGAUGAUGACGGUAGCGUCCAAAGAAGCACCGGCAAACUUCGUGCCAGCAGCCGCGGUAAUACGAAGGGUGCGGGCGUGGUUCGGAAUUACUGGGCGUAAAGGGAGUGUAGGCGGAUAUGUAAGAUAGCGGUGAAAGGCCGGGGCUCAACCCGGGAACUGCCAUUAUGACUAUGUAUCUAGAGUACUGGAGAGGAUAGCGGAAGUCCCAGUGUAGAGGGGAAAUUCGUAGAUAGUGGGUAGAACACCGGUGGCGAAGGCGGCUAUCUGGCCAUUUACUGACGCUGUGGCUCGAAAGCGUGGGGAUCAAACAGGAUUAGAUACCCUAGUAGUC